rnacentral:rRNA from 1 species
UACGAAGGGGGCUAGCGUUGCUCGGAAUUACUGGGCGUAAAGGGCGCGUAGGCGGAUAGUUUAGUCAGAGGUGAAAGCCCAGGGCUCAACCUUGGAAUUGCCUUUGAUACUGGCUAUCUUGAGUUCGGGAGAGGUGAGUGGAAUGCCGAGUGUAGAGGUGAAAUUCGUAGAUAUUCGCAAGAACACCAGUGGCGAAGGCGGCUCACUGGCCCGGUACUGACGCUGAGGUGCGAAAGCGUGGGGAGCAAACAGG